AUUUGGCUAGUGUUGAUGAUGAGUUGUCAACCUGCCAACGAACGUCAGCUGGUAUCCGAGGAGAUCGCAGUCCAAUGGAGGACAGUCAUGGCGGCCCUGUGUCCAGGUGUUCAGUAUGGUUUAUCUUCGCAACAAAAUUUUGGUGAAAACAAAGACUUAAUUUUUGUGAAACUAACGGAUUCCGCUUUACGUGCAAUAGAAGAAUUUUUAAAAAAUCAGAAUAAAUUUAGUCAGACUCCCACAAUAAAGUUCCUAGGAAGUGAAAAUGGGGAGUUAUCGUUUCCUUCCAUUCACCACCAGGGCGGGUCAACGUCAUUCAGUUUCUCCAUGUCCAGUACUGCCGACAUGGAGGGCCCCGGGGGGAGUUUCGAGUGCAUCCAACAGAUAGGAUCUCCCCGGGGCUCUCUAGAAUGUCUCGGAUCCAUUCCUUACAAAAUACGCGUGCACGCCAACGAGGACGUCUAUGAGGCGACACGGACGCGAAUGACUGAAGCGGAGGACAAAUACAAGAAUAAAUGCACAAGGGAGAUAAAGCCAAACCAGACAGACAUUGGACGCAAGGUGAAGGUGAAACAGUCUGCAGCGCAGGCGCGUGUAGCACCAAUCGCCCCGAUACGUCGUGAGAUGCCCUCAAUGCGGGACUCGUUGCUCAAGCAACCUUCGUUGGCGACUUCGUACCACCAACCGUCCCUCAAGCCACAUCAGAACGCGGUGCCGCCCACCGUCCAGAACAACAACAACAACCACAACGGAUUGCUCUCGAACGGGCUGGGCAGCAAUCACGUCAGCAGCUCGAAGCCGCAGCUCAACAAGCCUUCUGUACCGGACAUCGCUAGGCGACCCCUUAAAGAACGAUUAAUACAUCUGCUCGCGUUGAAGCCUUUUAGAAAGUUUGAACUGUAUGAACGGUUGCAAAAAGAAGGCUUGCGGGAGAAAAAUGGCGGUAUGUCCUCAGUUUUGAAGCAGAUUGCUACGCUAAAGGAUAACUGCUACCACUUAAACAGAGCCAUGUGGAAUGAGGUGCAUGAGGAUUGGCAGUUCUACACCGAAUCCGAAAAACAGAUGCUCAAGAGGCGGAAACCGCAGAACUUGACGCCGCCAGGCGGCAGCGACGGUGGCAGCAGUUCUGGAAGCGGCCAGUCACCGACGAGUACGCACCCAGGUUCGCCGCCUCCCAUUUCGUCGUCGAAACGGCCGUCGUAUCUGGACGGCGGAGGCGACAGCGGCGCUCCACCUAACAAGCGCCAACGCAUCUCUCAUUACCGCAAACCGCAGCCCGCCGAACAACAGCCCUAUCACCGUGCACAAGUUCAGCCUUUCGAGGGAAGCAAUCAACGGAGGCCGCCCACCGAUUCCCGGGACGCCAGCAACAUGAACCCCCGCAGCAGGGAGUCCGUAUCGCCGCCAAUGACGAAUGGCUACUAUGGAUCUGCGAACGGCUACGGUAACGGCAUGCUCAACGACAAGCGCCAUCUGAGCGAUGACGAGGAUGGCAACGGCGGUGCGCCCGUGUCCGCACCGGCACCCACUAAAAAACGUUCAUGUGAUAGUCAUAAUAAUUUAAGCUUCGGAGUGAACCGCGAAAAGACAUUCGUAAAUGGGCGCUCGUCGUCGCCCCCCGCGAACAAGAUGGCGACGCCGCCUCAGGAGAAGGACCACCUACAGCAGCCACAGCAUCCGACCAUGAUGAACGGCGGCCCAACCAUCAACGGUUAUGCACCACCCCCGUCUAACGGACGGGUAGUGCACCAGCAGCACCACAACAAUCAAUACCUGAAUCAUCAGAUGCAUCCAGUUGAGGAACGGAACAAAUACAACAAAGUGACGUCAUCAACGCAAAAUAACAGUCGGAUAGCGCGGGUCAGUCCUGACAGCCAAACGGAAAUACUUCCACCAGACCUAGAGCCGCCGCCUAUCAAGGGCAGCAACGCUAAGGUUGUGGAAGACGAGUUUCCGGAUUAUAAAUCGCAAUAUACAAAAAUAACCAGUUUAGAACAACGGCGAAAGUAUAAAGCCGAUUUCAAUGCUGACUACAACGAAUACCGAAUACUACAUGGCAUCGUUGAACAAGUGUCUAGGAAAUUCGCACAAUUGGAAGAGCGGCUCAAGCAGAAAAACGAAGGCAGUCCUGAAUAUAAAGAUAUUAAAAAUCAAAUAAUCAAGGAAUAUCAUGAGAACAAGAAAGAUCUGGAGCACCAGCGGGCCAAGCGGCGCUUCGACUACCUGCACGGCAAGCUGUCGCACAUAAAGGGACUAGUGUUCCGUUACGACCAAGGGGUGCGCGAGGAGAGCCAGUACUGACGCUGGGAGGCGGCGGCCUCCCCGGCCCCCCACCGACUACAACUACGACGCCGCCCACCGCCCCCCAUCCUUCCCACCGCUACUACUAUUAUUACUACUGCUGCAAUUGCUAAAGCUGCUCGCGGACAACUGCAAUCGGACGACGACAACACAACAUCACGCAACGUUUAGUUUGAGGCAAAGAAAAGCAAAAAAAUCCACAAAAACACGUUUCAAAAUGGCAAAAAAAUUUAAAAGUUUUCCCUGCUCCUCAUCAUCCAACUUCCUGCGUUGUAAAUCAUGGAUCCAGGGUGUCGAACAUUCUUCUCUCCUGUCGCACACAGUGUCGCAAUGGUGUGUUCUACCCCAAUCAUACAAAGGCUGGAAUACCAGUGCAGGAAUUUUAGUGUUAUAGGUGUAUUUAGUUAAAAAAGAAAAAGAAAAAUAUUACCAUAAAGUGUUAAUUAUUGAUUUAUCGGUUUGCGGAGUAACCAACUGACGUUUUGAGUGCGGCUAAAGUGUUUAAGGAUCUUUUUGAUUGUUUUAUUUUAAUUCCUUGGACAUGGAUAUCAACAAUUACAUCAUACUCAUCAAAAUUAUCAAGAAAAACCAAAAUGGUUCAUCAAAUCAACUUUGUGAUAUCCUCUAGCUUCACAACUUCGGAAGAAGACUCGAUUGAUUCCUUUUUAGGAAGUGCGCGUUGGAUCAAAUUAAUAAUUAACAUACAUCAUGUAUCAUCCGUUCUUACAUACUGGCACAGUGCUCUAUCAAAAGUGUCCUGAACAUAUCCGAAGUCCAUAUUCAAUAACAGCCCUUUUAAACUGAUCCCAGGAUUCAUAUCCAUUUUAUUCAAUAUUAAACAACAUAGGACAUAUCUUGUUACAUAUUUUCCUUGCAAAUCAUUUGCAACAUGUCAAGUAAUCAUUAAUGGUAAAAAUCUUGCCUACUGACUGCUUUCUGAUCAAGGUGCUUAAUCCUUUGUUGCAAUUUUUUCUACAUAUUUAAUUUGUGCCAUAAGUACACAUUAAAUGAUUUGCUAUCAACAACCAAAAGCGUUGUACCAAGAGUGCUCGGUACUUGUUUCAUUUUUAUGUUAGAUUUUAUUGACCAUUUUUGUUAUUCCAUCUUGACAAACUGUUAUCAUUUUUAUUGUUGAGUUAUAAUUGUUCUAUUAAUUACAGUGUUCCACAUUGGCAUUAGAUUUUAUACGUUUACCACGCAUUAUUACUUUUAAAUAAUUACAAUAUUUGCCAUUUUUAACAGUUACCAUAUUUUUGUUGUUUUUCUUCCAAUUUUUGAUAUUUCUGUUCUACUUCCGAAAUUAUUUAUGAACAAUUACUCUGUGCCAAACAUGUAACUAUUGAUAUUCUUUAAUGAAAUUGAUUUAUGUCAAACAUAUUUAAUUUUAAACAAUGAACUUAGUUUUGUAUUUUAGGGAAAAUCAAAAAAUUAAAUUGUAAAUUUUUAUCUAAGAGGUUCUAUUUAUUAUUUUUGUUUUGAUUAAUUUAUUAAAUCUCAAUUGUUAUCAACUAGCCAUAUCUAUAGAACUAUUCUUUCGUAUUGUACCAUAUAUUAAAAGAGAUAGUAAAAUCUUUAAUUUAUAAAAUUAAACACAAUCUUAAAUAUUUUAUAAACGUCCAAAAUAUAACGUCCCAAAAAAUUAAUCAAAGUCAGCUAUAUUAAAUUCAGAGCAUUUUUGUUUUAAAUUGUUCAAUAUUAUUUAAACAUUAUAAGAAAUAGUAUAUUUUUGUAUAUUACAUGUUCUAAAGAUGAUUGAAAAUUAAAUUUUACGUCUUAUAUUAUGAAUCUGAUUGUAAUCAAAAAAUUAAUGAAACGUUUUAAAUAAAAAUUUUACGUUAUCAGUGAUGUAAUGGUACAACAUGAAAGUUAUAGUUCAGAAUCCAUAGAUCUAAUUUAAAAUUAGUUUAUAGGUAUUUUAAUCUGUGAUGGCCAUGCUCAUUCCGCUGAAUUAGAUAAUAUACUAUGUUGUCCAUUAGCAGUGUCCUUCCUGCCAAUCAGACUAUCCGUCAAUCGCUAAUAUAUAAUGUGGUUGUGAUUGUACAUAUGAUCUUUGAUGACGACCUGGCCUGACCUUGACUCAUCAUGUUUAUAUAAAUAUAUAUACAAUACCAUGUAUCUAUAUUAUUAUUACAUAUAUAUUAAUAUGUUAGAAUAUGCUUAAUCAACUCUAUUCUGUCUUCUCGCUUAUAUUUUGAAAAAAAAAUCAAAGCAAUUAUGAAAACCAAAAAAAAUAUAAAAUAAUAAAUGUCGUUAGUCCGGGGUUGUGUAAUUUCUGUAGGUACUGAGUCAAUUCGAAAAGAAAAAAAUCCCACAAAAUCACUCGUCGAAAUCGUUUAAUUCGAUAAUUACAUGACACAUGGAUUAAUGUGAUAAAAGAAA